rnacentral:lncRNA from 1 species
AAACUGAGUACAUCAGCAACAACCCCGUUUCCAAAUCAGAUCACAUUCUGAGACUCCAGGAGUUACAGCUAUAAUAUAUCUUUUGGGGGGGAACACAAUUCAAUCCAUAAAAAUACUGAAAACAACAAAGCAGGAUAAAGGGUCCGCAACUGAGAGGACAAAGAAUGAAACCGAGAACAAACUUUGCAUGCUCCUCUGUUUUUUUUUUUUUUUUUUUGGCUGCAGUGCGUUUUCGUUGCUGUGUGUGGACUUUCUCUAGUUGCAGUCCAUGGGCUUCUUUCUCAGUGCAGUGACUUCUCUUGUUGCAGAGCACAGGCUCAGUGGUUGAGGCCCUCAGGCUUAGUUGCCCCACAGCAGGUGCCCCCAGACCAGGAAUCAAACCCAUAUCCCCUGCAUUGGCAGGCGGAUUCCUAACCACUGAACCACCAAGGAAAUCUACUCUGUAUUUUUUUGCCCUGUCUCAUGUGCUUAUCCAUAAUGACUGUUCUUGCUUUCGCUACUACAGCUCUUCCAUCUCUCUUCACAGUAAUUUAUUAAUUAUUGGGAAAUUCCAAGUACAAGUUCGUGUGUACUGAUAAGCUCCCAGCUGCAAGUGACAAAAUUCCAACUCAAAUUGGCUUAAGUUAAAGGGGAGGUGGGUGUUUUGUUGACUGAAAAGUCCAGGAGUGUGUAAGUAGAGUUCAAAUAAGGCAGGACCUAGAGCCUCAAACAAUGUCAGCUGAGUUCUAUUUUCCAUCUUUCAGCUAGGCUUUAUGCACAUUUCAUGAUACAGCUUUUUUUUUUUUUUAGGCUACCAAGGGCAGUGGCCAGAGGCAUAGUUGCAUGCCAGACGUUUGUAGGUGCCAGUUAAGGAUUCUCACCACUUUGAAAAAUGGUGGGAAUGGAAAUACUAUACGGGCUGCAUUUGAGAACCAGACUGCAAAGACAGCAUCAUUGACAAAGAAUUUAGAGGUGGUUGGUAGAGGCGAGAAAAUGAACAUUCUAGCCUGCAUACUCAUGUUGGGACAAGACGGUGGAGUAGAAGGACCUUGGGCUCAUCUCCUCAUAAACUGCAUUCUGCAACCACUGAAUUGAUGUUUGAUGUCCUUCCUCUAUGCCCCCAGCUGCACAGGGCUGGUGGCAGUUCUAGCUUGCAAACAAAGUCCCCCAGGACUGAUGUGUACUACUUGGUGUGGGUUUCCGGACUACUUCUUGAUUAAGAACUUCUAACCGUGAUCUUGCAUAAUCAUCACCUAAUGUAUUGAGAGGCUACACGUCUCAUCCAACAACAGACAUCCUUAGAUCUCAGCAGGGGAACGAAGCAAAUGACAUUACAGAAAGAAAGAAUGCAGAAUAUUCCAUUUUUUUUCAGCUUGUUACCAGAUUUCUGCAUCUUCCAUUGUUUCCACUGAAAUUUGUUGCCGUGACCUGGUACUUAAUUUUAUGAUUGGUUGUUAUGAAACUCAAGUAUUAGAAUGGGGUUAAAAAUUGUUGACAUUGCAUUGGGCAAAGGCUACAGAACACUUCCACUGUGUAGCUCAGCUGUUUCCCCAGGGAAAACAGGUAUAACAUGUUCCAAUUUGGAGCCCCAGCUCUGGGCAGACUUCCUCUAGAAGAUUCUCUUGACAGACUGUUCUGUAAUCAUGACCACUCUGUCUAAAGGAAGGGAACAACACAGCGGCAAUACACAUCUAAAUGUGAACUUGCCAUAGGUAGGAUUACAGUUGUACUUCUGAAUCUUCCCAGCUGACCACCAAUCAGAAUAGACCCAGAGCUCUGAAAUACUCGUCUGAGAGACACAAUGUGUUUUUGUUUCAAUAUCUAGAUCCACAUAUAGGUCAAUAGAUAGAACACUCUGGAAAAAUGACUCAACAUUCUUAUCGUCAAUUACUAGAAGUAUAUUAUUUAACUAAAAAAAUAAGUGCCGAUUUAAAACUUCUACCAGUAUACAUGUUAGUCUUUUCCAAAAGACCCUCAAAUCUCAAACUGGUAAUAAACUAUAGAACGAUAAAAGUUUCUACA